GAAGACGUCGGUUUGGUUGUCGGCUCCGCCCGCCUGUCUGAAGGGAAAGGGCGGAGCCAAUCCGCGGUCCGCUCAGCCCUCCUGCCCGCCCCUCGGGUCACAUGACCUCUCCGCGCGGCGCGGCGGCACCUGCAGCGCCACCUGCUGGGCUGGCGCGUCCCGCGCGUUCAGUGGGCCGCCGGGCCCAAGUCCUUUCACCUGGGCAUCUUAGCCCCUACCCCCAGGUCAAACAGUAACUGCAGCGUCAAUUUUCUUUUCUUCCUGUUUUUUCUUCAUUUUCGCCGAACACUAAUCAUCUGGUAUGCCUUUUAGUUGAACUGUCUUGUUAAGUUUACGCCCUCUGCAGCUGAGAGGUUCCUGGAACUGCAGUGAAACGAUGGAUACAGAAACCAAGGCUGCCAUAGCUGAUUGAUGUAAACAGGAGUUAAGUUCUCACGGCAUCUUAUGGCAAAACGAUGUUGAAUGAAACGAUGUUAUUUGAAGCCCUGCUUUCGCUCAAGAGAGCUUGGUGACGAACAAUCUCCCAGGAAGCACGCAGGAGAGAACCUUAAGAUGCACCGAGUGUGAGGAACUGUCAGCAGUCACGUGUGACUACCGAGAAAUCGCAUUAUUGUCCCAGAACUGUC